GGGGUGUCGCUUGUAUAGAGAAAGAGGAA
rnacentral:miRNA from 1 species